rnacentral:rRNA from 1 species
UACGUAGGGUGCGAGCGUUAAUCGGAAUUACUGGGCGUAAAGCGUGCGCAGGCGGCUUUCCAAGACAGAUGUGAAAUCCCCGGGCUCAACCUGGGAACUGCAUUUGUGACUGCAAGGCUAGAGUACGGCAGAGGGGGAUGGAAUUCCGCGUGUAGCAGUGAAAUGCGUAGAUAUGCGGAGGAACACCGAUGGCGAAGGCAAUCCCCUGGGCCUGUACUGACGCUCAUGCACGAAAGCGUGGGGAGCAAACAGG